rnacentral:rRNA from 1 species
CCCUUAGAUGUUCUGGGCCGCACGCGCGCUACACUGAUGCAUUCAACGAGCCUAUCCUUGACCGACAGGUCCGGGUAAUCUUUGAAUCUGCAUCGUGACGGGGAUAGAUUAUUGCAAUUAUUAAUCUUCAACGAGGAAUGCCUAGUAGGCGCAAGUCAUCAGCUUGCGUCGAUUACGUCCCUGCCCUUUGUACACACCGCCCGUCGCUCCUACCGAUUGAAUGGUUUAGUGAGAUCUCCGGAUUGGCUCUGUAGGUCCCGCAAGGGAUUUAUUAGUAGCCAAGAAGCUGCUCAAACUUGAUCAUUUAGAGGAAGUAAAAGUCGUAACA